GAUGAACGCUGGCGGCGUGCCUAAUACAUGCAAGUCGAGCGAACAGACGAGGAGCUUGCUCCUCUGACGUUAGCGGCGGACGGGUGAGUAACACGUGGAUAACCUACCUAUAAGACUGGGAUAACUUCGGGAAACCGGAGCUAAUACCGGAUAAUAUAUUGAACCGCAUGGUUGAAUAGUGAAAGACGGUUUUGCUGUCACUUAUAGAUGGAUCCGCGCCGCAUUAGCUAGUUGGUAAGGUAACGGCUUACCAAGGCAACGAUGCGUAGCCGACCUGAGAGGGUGAUCGGCCACACUGGAACUGAGACACGGUCCAGACUCCUACGGGAGGCAGCAGUCGGGAAUCUUCCGCAAUGGGCGAAAGCCUGACGGAGCAACGCCGCGUGAGUGAUGAAGGUCUUCGGAUCGUAAAACUCUGUUAUUAGGGAAGAACCAAUGUGUAAGUAACUAUGCACGUCUUGACGGUACCUAAUCAGAAAGCCACGGCUAACUACGUG
rnacentral:rRNA from 1 species